UGCGAAGGGGGCUAGCGUUGCUCGGAAUUACUGGGCGUAAAGCGCACGUAGGCGGCUUUGUAAGUUAGAGGUGAAAGCCCAGGGCUUAACCCUGGAAUUGCCUUUAAGACUGCAUCGCUAGAAUCGUGGAGAGGUGAGUGGAAUUCCGAGUGUAGAGGUGAAAUUCGUAGAUAUUCGGAAGAACACCAGUGGCGAAGGCGACUCACUGGACACGUAUUGACGCUGAGGUGCGAAAGCGUGGGGAGCAAACAGG
rnacentral:rRNA from 1 species